rnacentral:miRNA from 1 species
GGUUUCUCUGUGUAGUUUUGGAGGCUGUCCUGGCACUCGCUCUGUAGACCAGGCUGGCCUCGAACUCACAGAGAUCCGCCUGCCUCUGCCUCUCGAGUGCUGGGAUUAAAGGCAUGCGCCACCAAUGCCCG